rnacentral:rRNA from 1 species
ACCAGCUCCUCAAGUGAUUCGGACUUUUACUGGGCCUAAAGCGUCCGUAGCCGGGCCUGCCAGUCUUCGGUCAAAUCCGGCAGCUCAACUGUCGGCCUGCUGGAGAUACUACAGGCCUUGGAGGCGGGAGAGGUAGAGGGUACUCCUAGGGUAGGGGUGAAAUCCGUUAAUCCUAGGGGGACCACCAGUGGCGAAGGCGCUCUACUGGAACGCGCUCGACGGUGAGGGACGAAAGCCAGGGGAGCGAACCGGAUUAGAUACCCGGGUAGUCCUGUGCUGUAAACCAUGCGAGCUAGGUGUUGGCCCAGCCACGAGCUGAGUCAGUGCCGUAGGGAAGCCGCUAAGCUCGCCGCCUGGGGAGUACGGUCGCAAGGCUGAAACUUAAGGAAUUGGCGGGGAGCACCACAAGGGGUGAAGCCUGCGGUUU